UGUUGGUCAGAGUGCAGUGGUGUUUACAGCUAAUUGAUCACAACCAGUUACAGAUUCCUUUGUUCCUUCUCCUUCUCGACUCCCACUGCUUCACUUGACAAGCCUUAA
rnacentral:Y_RNA from 1 species